UACGUAGGGUGCAAGCGUUAAUCGGAAUUACUGGGCGUAAAGCGUGCGCAGGCGGUUAUGUAAGACAGAUGUGAAAUGCCCGGGCUUAACCUGGGAACUGCAUUUGUGACUGCAUGGCUAGAAUCUGGCAGAGGGGGGUAGAAUUCCACGUGUAGCAGUGAAAUGCGUAGAGUAUGUGGAGGAACACCGAUGGCGAAGGCAGCCCCCUGGGU
rnacentral:rRNA from 1 species